rnacentral:rRNA from 1 species
GAAUCCCGUAUGUGGCACGGACUCCCGUUACUCUGUGAUACACUCUCAACGAGUCGAGUUGUUUGGGAAUGCAGCUCCAAAUGGGUGGUAAAUGCCAUCUAAAGCUAAAUAUUGGCGAGAGACCGAUAGCAAACAAGUACCGUGAGGGAGAGAUGAAAAGCACUUUGGAAAGAGAGUGAAACAGUACGUGAAAUUGUUGAAAGGGAAACGCUUGAAGUCAGUCGUGCCCUUUGGGAUUCAGCCUUGCUUCUGCUUGGUUUACUUCUCUUUGGGUGGGUCAACAUCAGUUUGGGUCGGAGGAGAAAGACUUGGGGAAGGUGGCAGCAUUCGUGCUGUGUUAUAGCCCCUUGUUGUAUACUUCGAUUUGGACUGAGGACCGCAGCACGCCUUUGGCCGGGGCUCGCCCACGUACGUGCUUAGGAUGUUGGCAUAAUGGCUUUAAGCGACCCGUCUUGAAACACGGACCAAGGAGUCUAACAUGUGCGCGAGUGUUUGAGUGUUAAACUCAGACGCGAAAUGAAAGUGAAAGGUUGGGAACACUUAUGUGUGCACCGACGCCCGGAGCUGACCUUCUGUGACGCAUCUGCGGUAGAGCGUAUAUGUUGGGACCCGAAAGAUGGUGAACUAUGCCUGAAUAGGGUGAAGCCAGAGGAAACUCUGGUGGAGGCUCGUAGCGAUUCUGACGUGCAAAUCGAUCGUCAAACUUGGGUAUAGGGGCGAAAGACUAAUCGAACCAUCUAGUAGCUGGUUCCUGCC